GAAAUGCGAUACAUGGUGUGAAUUGCAGAAUCCCGCGAACCAUCGAGUCUUUGAACACAAGUUACGCCCGAAGCCAUUAGGUUGAGGGCAUGUCUGCCUGGGCGUCUCACGUUGCGUUGCCCGUGCGCCCUCCCCUGCCAAAGGGAAGGAGGGCUGCGGGCGGAUGUUGGCCCCUCACGCGCGCGCGGUCAGCCCAAAAACUAGUCCCUCGCGACGAACGACGCGUCGCGAUGAGUGGUGAUUGACAAACCGUUGCGUCGCCUUGCACGCGUCCUGGUUGUCUUGAGGGGCCUGUCGUGACCCUACCAUGCCGCUGCCAAGGCGCUCCGAUUGCGACUCUAGGUCAGGCGGGAUUACCCGCUGAGUUUAA
rnacentral:misc_RNA from 1 species